UACGGGAGGGGGCUAGCGUUGUUCGGAAUUACUGGGCGUAAAGCGCACGUAGGCGGCUUUGUAAGUUAGAGGUGAAAGCCCAGGGCUUAACCCUGGAAUUGCCUUUAAGACUGCAUCGCUCGAAUUGUGGAGAGGUGAGUGGAAUUCCGAGUGUAGAGGUGAAAUUCGUAGAUAUUCGGAAGAACACCAGUGGCGAAGGCGACUCACUGGACACAUAUUGACGCUGAGGUGCGAAAGCGUGGGGAGCAAACAGG
rnacentral:rRNA from 1 species